rnacentral:lncRNA from 1 species
AGGAAAACUCCGUUCUAUUCCAGAAGCUGCUAUGAGCUAGCGGCUAUGAACUUGUGGCCCAACCACAGGGAAUCAGGAACUUGUGAGUUACAGCCCAGACUCAACUGAUCCUCGCUGACUGACCUCAGGCAAGUUACUUAACAUUUGCCUGUCCCUUAUUUUCCAGCUGUAAAAUGGCAAAAAAUAUUUCCUCAUUCAAGUUAAGCAGACAUCCAUCUGAAAACAGUUACAGAAGCCCUGGGAACAAACUGGCUGACACUUUUGCAUUGCUCAUCACCUCAAUGAAGAUCCAGCGGACGGCCACCCUGUAAGUCACAGACUGAGCUUUCCGUGGUCAGUGACAGAACAUCAUCUUUCUGGAGUCUUCAGUUGUUUUCAUGGUUUCUGUAUACUUUUUUGAUUGACAU